rnacentral:lncRNA from 1 species
GUGUCUCUGUUUCCUCAUUUGUAAAGUGGGAAUAAAGAGACCUAGCUCCCUCCUGGAGCUGCUGAGAGUGUUGGGCAGAGGAAAAUUGUAGUGGGCACAGCCCUGGCACAGAGCAAACCCCACAUGGAGGCGUCUUACCAUUACUGCUGCUACUGGAGCAUUUGGGCUGAUGGUUAAUGGACUGACACCAAUCACUACUUUCUUCCUGAACCAUCUCUCAGGUUCUACUCAUUCCCUCUGAGAAUCAGGGAUGCCUGCUGGGUACCAGGAUUAACUCCUUGUCUUCCCAGGAUGCUUGGGGUAAAGCCAAUAGCUUCACGGUGAUCUGUGACCCCUUGUGCAGGGCGGGUCGGCAUGGAGCCGUGAAGUACGGGGUUGAUCUGAAGGACACUUUCCUGAGCCUGCUGGGCAGUAGAGAGUCAGGUAGGCUGAAAGUCUUUCCGUGGAGCCUAUAGCAUUGUGGCUUGUUAAGGAAUGAGCUACUCAAUGCUAAGCUGAUAUAAAGUCGGAUGUGACUCCAGCAGACUGGCCCCCUAGGGAAUGGAGGGAAGCCCCCUUCUAAGCUGACUGAGCAUCAUCCGUGUUCUGGAAGCCAGUCUGGAUUUCUGAUGUCUGAUUUCUUCUGUCGAGGUUAACCUGAGUGUCCAUCUGGGGCCUCUCCGACAUUAUUUUUCUCAUUUGAGCCCUAAGUUAUUCAUUUAAUGGUUUUAUAUACACUACUUCAUCUUCCAUAAUACCUUCGGAAUUGGUAAUUUUCUUAAAUUAGGUCAUUUAGUCCCUUUGCCACAAGUGCAAACCUGCUUUCUCUGACCUCUCUAAGAGAUGGGCACCCUCUCUCAUUAGGAUGUCAGUGCUCUCUUUACUCUAAAAGGUGUGUCAGAGAUGUUCAUGUUUCGCCACUCAGCCUGUGUCAGGUCUGCGAGGAAGGAAUGUUGGGUGUCUAUUUUGGUGUGGUUUAUUUCACCUUCAAGUGGUUCUUCUCCCUCCCAUAUGACCAUAUGAAUCACUCUUUGUUUUGUUUUGAUUUUUUUUUUUAACGUAUACUGAUCUCAUCACAGAAAGCCUUGGAGCUGUGGGUUCAACUCAGUGCUGGCCAAGGGUGCAAACAGUGGUAGAACCGUGCUUUCUGUCCGUGUCUUUUACCUGCUGAGUGAGUGAGCACUCAGCCAAUGGAAACUGAUUCAGAGGUCCUGGUGGAGCCUGAUUCAAUGAGACUCCGUGUUUCUGACAUGGGUUAGCCUCAAAUGCUACCUGUCAAAGGGUUUGAGUCACUUGAUUUCUGCUUUAUAACCCAUACCCAUAAAGCAACAGAGUUGUAGUAAAUGUGCACUCUUCUUUGGAUGGUUUUGAAAUACAUUGCAUCGUCUAUAGUAUUCUGUUCUGUUCUGCCCUUCUGUAUCCUUAUAGACUUCCCUUUAUAUGAUGUAUGUAUCAUGAUUUAAUAAAUACAUAAAGUAUCAAAUAAUUAAAUUAUCUUCUCAUACCAUUCAAAUCCUU